rnacentral:lncRNA from 1 species
GCGGCCGCGGCCCCCGAUGAGACUGCUGGCGGGCUGGCUGUGCCUGAGCCUGGCGUCCGUGUGGCUGGCGCGGAGGAUGUGGACGCUGCGGAGCCCGCUCACCCGCUCCCUUGGUAUGUGUGCAACAGAGAGAAAUUAUGCGAAUCACUCCAGGCUGUCUUUGUUCAGAGUUACCUUGAUCAAGGAACACAGAUCUUCUUAAACAACAGCAUUGAGAAAUCGGGCUGGCUAUUUAUCCAAUUAUAUCAUUCUUUUGUGUCAUCUGUUUUUAGCCUGUUUAUGUCUAGAACAUCUAUCAAUGGGUUGCUAGGAAGAGGCUCAAUGUUUGUGUUUUCACCAGAUCAGUUUCAGAGACUGCUUAAAAUUAAUCCAGACUGGAAAACCCACAGACUUCUUGAUUUAGGUGCUGGAGAUGGAGAAGUCACAAAAAUCAUGAGCCCUCAUUUU